UCUCACUUAAAAACAGAAUGCACAAAUUUCUGCUUUGGAGGAAAGAAGAAGACAUUUCUUUGAAAUCUCUUCCCUUGUCUGCUGUAGAACGAGACUUUGUGCCUGAGGUGGCCUCUGCUGUUGAUGGACAAAGUGCUGUUCUAGGUGUUCUGGUGGUCUGCAAAGACUGAGCUGGGGGAGGAGAGUCACUAUGAGGUUGUGGGGGUUGUUGUGAGGUGACAGAGCUUACUAUGAAAUUGUGGGGGGUCAUUUGAGGUGAUGGGGGGUCAUUUGAGGUUGAUGGGGGGUCACUAUGAGGAUGUGGGAGUCAUUGUGAGGUGAUGGGAACUAUUGUAAGGUGACCAGGGUUAGCUACUAUGAUGCUGUCGGGGGUCACUGAGAAUUGAUGGAGUCACCAUGAGGUGAUGGGGUCACUAUGGUGAUGUGGUAACAAUCAUUUCCUCUCUUUGGCAUGUGAAAUUGGAGCCUAUCUUUGAUGAACGUCAUCUUCACCACAACUACACAGAAUUAAGCAAUUGAGUGAUUUUGAUUGACGUGGAAGAGUCUUCACUUCCAACACUGUGGAAAUCUCUGAGUCAAGUUGGGGAUAUCUAGUCCUGUUCUCUGGUGAGCAGAUGCCUGUGUGGGCUUCAUGGGUUGCACAUCCAAGACUUGCGUCAAGGAUGGAAUCACCUGGGACAGAAAACUUCUGUGCUAGCAGACAAGAAAGCCCAGGAUCAUGCCUGUGUCCUUCAGUUCAGUAGAUACUCAAGAUCCCUGAGUGCCUAAGAGGAGUCAGCUUGUUUCAUGUGGGGUUACUCACCCUAUCCUGUUUCAUUUCAACUUAUGACAACUGGAGUCUCUCGUCUGAAGUCACACAUGAGUUACAUGUGGUUUGGAUCUGGCCUGAGAAGGAGCCUCAACCAAACACUCAGCAUUUUGGUCUGAGAAGAAGGUUGCAUUAUACUCUAAGUACCUGUUUCCUCAAGAAAGCAUCUUAGUAGCUAAGCACAGCAGCACCUGCAGAAAUCUUCAACUCGUAAGCGGCAAGGAAUGGUCUGAAGUACCCAUGUUUACUUUACUCAGGGGGAGAGCAGCUUUGGGCGUUCUCUCCUCUCGCAAGGAUGGACUUUUAGCUCACUGUAAGGGCUUUCUGAAACCAAAUCUCUCCCUCCCUUAUUCUUCUCCCACUCCUUUCCCUUCCCCAUUCCUUCCUGCCUCCUCCUUCCCUCCCUUCCUCCCCCCUCCUUUCUUCCCUUUCUCGAUCCUCUCCCACUCCUUCCCUUCUCUUUUCCCUUGUCUCUUUCCUUUUCAAUAAACGUUUUUUAAAGAAAAGCCACUUGGAAA